rnacentral:rRNA from 2 species
UGACUGCGUACCUUUUGUAUAAUGGGUCAGCGACUUAUAUUCUGUAGCAAGGUUAACCGAAUAGGGGAGCCGGAGGGAAACCGAGUCUUAAUUGGGCGUUAAGUUGCAGGGUAUAGACCCGAAACCCGGUGAUCUAGCCAUGGGCAGGUUGAAGGUUGGGUAACACUAACUGGAGGACCGAACCGACUAAUGUUGAAAAAUUAGCGGAUGACCUGUGGCUGGGGGUGAAAGGCCAAUCAAACCGGGAGAUAGCUGGUUCUCCCCGAAAGCUAUUUAGGUAGCGCCUCGUGAAUUCAUCUCCGGGGGUAGAGCACUGUUUCGGCUAGGGGGCCAUCCCGGCUUACCAACCCGAUGCAAACUGCGAAUACCGGAGAAUGUUAUCACGGGAGACACACGGCGGGUGCUAACGUCCGUCGUGAAGAGGGAAACAACCCAGACCGCCAGCUAAGGUCCCAAAGUCAUGGUUAAGUGGGAAACGAUGUGGGAAGGCCCAGACAGCCAGGAUGUUGGCUUAGAAGCAGCCAUCAUUUAAAGAAAGCGUAAUAGCUCACUGGUCGAGUCGGCCUGCGCGGAAGAUGUAACGGGGCUAAACCAU